rnacentral:rRNA from 1 species
GAUGAACGCUGGCGGCGUGCCUAAUACAUGCAAGUCGAGCGAACAGACGAGGAGCUUGCUCCUCUGACGUUAGCGGCGGACGGGUGAGUAACACGUGGAUAACCUACCUAUAAGACUGGGAUAACUUCGGGAAACCGGAGCUAAUACCGGAUAAUAUAUUGAACCGCAUGGUUCAAUAGUGAAAGACGGUUUUGCUGUCACUUAUAGAUGGAUCCGCGCCGCAUUAGCUAGUUGGUAAGGUAACGGCUUACCAAGGCAACGAUGCGUAGCCGACCUGAGAGGGUGAUCGGCCACACUGGAACUGAGACACGGUCCAGACUCCUACGGGAGGCAGCAGUAGGGAAUCUUCCGCAAUGGGCGAAAGCCUGACGGAGCAACGCCGCGUGAGUGAUGAAGGUCUUCGGAUCGUAAAACUCUGUUAUUAGGGACGAACAAAUGUGUAAGUAACUAUGCACGUCUUGACGGUACCUAAUCAGAAAGCCACGGCUAACUACGUG